rnacentral:tRNA from 1 species
CGCACGACCGGCCCGGGGGCCUCGGCCUCCAGGUCGAAGUACAUGCCGCGCAGGUGGUCCCGGUACCACUCCAGGUCGUAGGU